UCAUUUUAUGAUGACUUAUUUAGGAAUGCAUUUUUUCAGAAUGCCGGCAAAGAGGAAGAAGGAAAUAAAAGUGAACUUUGUCCGCUACUCUCAUGAAGGUUGCACAAAAUGAGCUGUACUGCACAAAGCUUGGAAACACAACAAAACAAAAAAACAAAAAACAAACAUAGACUGAGGUGGAAAGAGAUGGCCCUCAAAAGACUAAAACCUACCCUAACGCUGACAGAGCAACCUGAAAACUAUAAAAGCAUAUUACUCACACCUCCUACCACGACAGACACCACAGCGCUCACUUCCUGUGUGGAAAGCAAUUUUUCUUUUUUUGAUUGGGUGUGCGGUUCUGAUCAAGAAGAAGAAGAAGAAGUGGCAGCUAAAUCAGAUGCUGGUGGUGCAAGAAAAAGCAGCUUAUAUACUAAAAUUGUAGAGCAAGACAGCAGAGCUAACAGAUAAAGAGGAAAUCAGAGAGCUGCUGGACCCUACACAAGUGGGAUGAUGAAUUUCUUAAGAUAUUGCUGCAUCAACUCUUCAUUGAUAAGUUGCAUCUUCUGGAUUUUCUGGCCAGCAGAAGCCAAAACAAUCACGCAGGUGGCAGGCAGCAGAGUGACCCUGAACUGUACUGACUCAGACAUAAACAUAACCAUGGUCACUUGGAAAUUUAAUGAAAAGAAUCUAUUUACCUUCAAAAGUUCAAAAGAUAAACCUAGGUUCAAUGAAAGUGUCCGCCUUAAAGUAGAGAUGUCUGAUUUAGAAAGUGAGCGAUAUGCACUCAUCAUAGGAGAAGCCCAGAAGUUACACGAAGGAAACUACACUUGCAAGAUAACUGCAAAUUCAGGAGUUUUUGACGAGUUCUGGGAGCUUAAAAUUACAGAAAGUAACAACAACAACAACAGACUGAUUAUCAUCAUAGCUGCUGUCGCUUCUGUAUGUUUCCUAGUAUUAAUAUCUGCUUUGGUGAUUCUGACACAAAGAAAAAGGAACAAAUCGCCUUCAGAAAUACGGCAGCAAAAGCAAGGGGAAGAUAUUUAUGAAAACCAUUUGGAAAUUCAGCGCCACCGAGCUUACCUUAACCAACCCUGAUUCUGCUGCUGUUUACACUGCUUUCAAUAGAACGUUAUUUACAUGGGACAUGAUGUUCUAAAUUUACCUUCUUCUUUCAAAUGUCCUCUGUGUGCUGGUAGUUAUGAGUCUGUGACGAGGAAAUAUGACAGAGGCAAUAUUUGUUCUUCCCAGGUCAAACAGAACAGGUUUCAGUAUUGCACAGUUUGCUCUUUGUCUUUGCUGCCUUUAUACAAAUAUUUAAAUUCACUGGACUUUUAAACAGCUUCUCUUUUCUUCCUAGUAAAAACAGUUUGGAUAUAAACCACGAUCACUGAGUAUUUUUGGAUUUAACUGAAACUACAGUGUGAUUCAAAGGUAGUUCCCAACUUUGUCAUAUCCCUAUUUGGUCAUCGGGCGAGAAGCAGUACAUCUUGGUCAGGUUGUGAAUCUAUCACAAAGACCCCAAACCGGGAUUCAAACCUAGGACUUUCUUGCAAUAAUUCAAUGGUUGUAUCACUGUGCCAGUCUGAAGCCUCCAUAAAGCACUGACAAAAACAUUAUAUAUUUUUGUUGCAUUAUUAUUUUAUGUGAUAGACCAACAUAUUAAAGAGAAUUACUGGGAUGGAAGGGAAAAAGAUAGAUGUUUUUCAGUCUGCUGUGCAUUUAAAUUAAGUUCCACUUAAUUUAAUCCAUAUAUUUAAUCUAUCUUAAAUAUAGAUUUCCCAGAGUGAUUAAUUCCCAUAAAUCAGUCAGAGGAUUGUCUGACUCAUUACAGAAUGAUGAAGACCGAGAACAAUGGCAUGCAUAUCAGGACAAACAUGUGGAAGAAGAUGCUCUGGUCAGAUGGAACGAAAUUGAAACUUUUCUACCCCAAUUUUGGGAAGGAAAUUACCACUUCACAUCAUCCUUUAAACUUGGUAUGUGUUGUGGGAUUUCAAAAAUCGUACAGGACUGAAACGCAGCACACUCUGUAACCUUGAUGCAAUAACAACUCUUGCCACACUGGAAAAUGGAAGACGCCAAUGUCCUGCAGCAACAUUCCCUCCUAAAGGCCAGUCAAAUGAGGCAGUUUAUCAUAUUUGUGCACUACUUUGUGUUGUUCUGUCACAUAAAUUCCCCCCAAACACAUUAAAGGCUGUGACCUAAAAUGGUCAAAGGUGGUGAAUGCUUUCGCAAAUUAAUGUGGCGUGUAAAAGAAGGAACCGUUUUAAUGAAAAAUAGCAAAAUGUGCCAAGUUUCCAUGUGUGCUGAUCAGGCCUCCUUUAACACAGUACAGAUAGCAUAACAAGGAAAUGAGUGGGCAUUUCUGUUGAAAGGCGUAAUGUGUUACUGUAGCAGAUAUUAAGAGAGUUCACUGGAAAUUAUUGAAAUAAAAAGUAACUGCCCUUCAAACUGUACCAGUCAAAUUAUUUUUUGAUAGGAUUAAUUUAAUAAAUUAUAUAAAUAGAGAUCAUUCUACCAAGGACUGUGAGAGUCUGUCUGUUUCUAGAAUGGGUGCCUUUAUGUAAUGUCUGCAGGAGGAGAUAAACAUCCCAAAGUGGAAGCAGAGGCCAGCCGCUUCCAGAGAGCUGGCCUGAGAGAAACACCCAAAGGCUUCCGGUCAAAGUUUGUGACCCAGAGAUGAUACUGAAACUGCGCUUAAGACUUUACAGGAAGAUAGGACAUUGCAUUGUAAAGAAAAGAUAGAUAAAUAUGUGUUUGCUACUGGGUUUGUUGUUUGCUGCUCCCCUAAUUAGCAGCUGCUAAUCGAUGUAAUCGGGGUUUUCAAAUUACAAUAAAAGGAGGAGAAGAAAGAGGGGACAUCAGAACUGGUCUGGAGACAGAGAUGUGGAGAUGUCCCUGGGCAGAGUUCUCCGUUCAAUUGUAAGAAAUUUAACUGUCUCCUUGUGUUCUUAUUUUUGUCCAGCGAGAAUGUCAGGUUAUAGAUCUGACAUUUUUAGUUACUUUUUUUUCUACAGUUAUGAAAUUGAACAAAGUAGCAGCAUUAGAAUAUAGAAAAUAGACUGUACACCUAUUGUUUUGUUCGGCUAUAGCUCUAUCUUUCUAUAUGUCUCUUUUCAAAGGUGUUGGGUGUUAAAAACAACAAAACUGAGGCACGGAUCUCUUUUUAGGUCUACUUUUAAUUAAAAAGAAAAAAGGAAGCUACAGAUACCAAGAGCUACAGCAGAGAAUAAGUCAAGCAAAAAAAAAAAAAAAAAAAAAAAGUAAAUUUGAGCAACAGAAUAAAAAUCUAAAAGCUGGAGCAGAAUGAAAAUUGUACAACAAAAUAUAAUGAGGAACAAAAAAUGAUUAAAAGUGUUUUUUUUUUCUUCCAGAAGCUAAUAAAUAAAAAAUAAAGAAAUGUAAACAAUGAUAUGACUUAUUUCUGAAGUACAGAGAAAAAAAGAACACCAACUUUUAAACACUAUAAGUAAAAAUGUAUUUUCUAAACACAGAACACAUUUAUGAAAAAAGACAUGAAAAUCACACAACUUUGUCACUUUUAAUUACAACCAGAGCUGUAAGGCAGCGGCCCCCAACCACCGGGCCUUGGACCAGUACCAAUCCGUGGACCAAUUGGUCCCGGGUCGCGCAAGAAAUAAUUAAAUAUGUCCGUUCAAUUUAUUGAGUCUGGAGGAGCUUUUAUUUUGAAAAUCCUAAACCGGAUGCUCUCGGUUAAGUCUUGCGUGCCAACAUGCAGCAGAAUGAGUAAGAAACAGUGGCAUUGUAAAUUUACGGAGGGUUGACCGGUCCGCUCUACUAAAAAAAGUUGGGGACCACUGGUGUGGCUCUUAAAUAAAAAGAAUGUACGGUAACUUUGAGUGUGAUGUUUGCACUCCAAGAAAAAGCUAAUUAUAGUUUAUCAGGAAUUUUGUCAUUGUGACAGAUUUAUAAGCAGCAGCCACCUGGUUUCAGAAAAUCUACAUAUAAUGCUAUUUUGAUGCACAGACGACAGCCUUUGUCUGUUUUCAGUGUCGACCAACCAUGAAAAAUGUCUCCUGUUAAAUGCAACAGUGUGUCCUUUCUGUGUGUGUCAUUUACUGACCUACAAAUAACUAACAAUUUGGGAGUUUUACAUGUGGAUUUGAGGCAACGGUUUUGCUGUUUUACUUCCAGCAGUUGGUGUCAGACCAUUGUUUUUAAAACUCCUUUUCCCCCUUUAUGGUUUAGCUUAGACAGAAAAUUUACCUCUUGUACUUAGGGAGGAAAAAUACAAAUGUUUAAAUAAGUUCAGCAGUUUAUAAUAUCCAGAAAGUACCUAACAAGGAAUGUGUACACCAAGCUGUUGAAAAUGGUACAUUCUCCAAUUGUUUUAGCAUAGAAAUAACUCCAGUGUACAACUAUAGAAACCCUUAGUAGCUCAGCUGAUGAGAUGAAAUGCAGAGUUGCUAUGCAAAAAGUAAGAAUAACACACUUAACUUUAAGCAUAAACAAAUGUUUUAAUCGUACACUUCUAAAGCUACAUCAACGAACAGCAGGUUAUACAAAAAUACAUAACUUUAUGUAAUACCAGGUAUUGUUCACUUGUUUAAAAAUAACUUCUGUCAAACUUUCCUUCAUUUGCAUUGUUAAGGCACUGUUUAUUGCUUUCGGAUGCAGAUUUUUUAGAUAUUUGCAAAUGAGAAAUUUUGUUUGAAUUAACAUACCAAAUUUCAAAUCUCUUCCAGAAGGAAAGAAGAUAUGCAAACUACUAUUGUGCUCUCCAGAAUCAAGAAAAUUAAUUUCAAGCUUUGUUGACAUCUUUGCUGAGUGCUUUAACUUUGCCACAAACUCUCUGCAUGGGAGGAAGAGCUGGGUUUGCAGAUUGGGAGUGAUCAUCUGGGAGGAUUCGGUCAAGCAAAGUGCACCAAAGUGUGUCAUAGAGUCCACUAUUCUAAAAGGAAAUUGUACAAAAUGUUCCCCUCAAUAUCUUCAAAAUGUGACAAAUGUAAGUCAGGAUGACUCCCUGACACCUCUGUUCCGGUCAUGACCUGAACUCUUCCAAUAUUGUCGUGACAUUUUCAACUUGUUCUCUGAAGUGUAUAAGUGCAUGUUGGUUCCAGAUCCCCAGAUUGCAUUAUUUGGAUAUUCUCCUUCACUUGGGAACUGUGACGUAUGGAAUGGUAAUAGCCAACAAAGUAAUAUUAAAAUUGUGGAAAACUGACAAUGGUCCUCACUUUAAAAUGUGGUAAUCGGAUUUUACUGAGAUACUUCAUUUGGAGAAAUUGUGGUAUUAUGCUGCAGGCUCCACUAAUAAGUUCUGUAGGAUCUGGCAGCCGUUUUUGGACCUUCUUUCUCAGACCAACACAGAGCCCAACGCUCACUCAGCCUCUUAGCACGCCACCCAUGCCUUCAUAGACAGGUAGCGUCAUCCUAAAGUCUGUGGUAAUCAGUGCAGUAUAACCAAUUAUUUAGAUAAUUGCCCUGACUUGUUCUUAUUUUAUUUAAUUUUUAGCUAUUGUACAUUUUUAUUUGCAUUAUUGUCGUAUUGGUAAGAGUAUAUUUCUUCUUAUACAGUAAUUUGUUAUAUAUAUUUGCUUUAUACUCUUAUGUAUGAUUCAUGUAUGUUGUAUUUUGAAAACUUAAAUUUGAUAGCUAGAUAGAUAGAUAAGAGAAAAAAAAACUUCUGCUGAUUACAUCUAGUUUCUCUAAAGCUUCUGCAUGUCUUAUACAGCAACAGCAUUACUGUAAUGUGAAAAGCACUCUAUGUUUAUACUGGUGAACUUGAGACAGGCACAAUCCUGGUAUCGCUAUCAAGUUUUCAUUGCAGGUGCAAACCCAAUCAGUGUCUUGCUAAAGCUACGUGAGUAUAUAGCAUCUAUUGUUUUAUUUAUUAGAAGACAAGUCCAAAUACUUUACUCUGCAUUCUUCAGUGCAGAGUGUAAAAGGUGUCAUGGUUCACCAGCAUGCUGGUUGACCUGGAUGCCAUUGCCGACAUCAGCAACAUUUAUGAAAACCGGAACAGCUUUGGUACAUUUUCACACUGCAGUGUUAUGUCGUUUUGCUUGUGUGUUUAAGAGCUUGUGAGUUAAGUUUGAGUUGGUGUCACUCAAUACUAUUUUUAGUUUCUGUAGAUUCAAACUUUAUGCAAAAAAUGAGCAAGUUUGAUAGUGUGAAAAGCGACACUGACUUCUUAUCAUAAGUAAUGUUUGUAAAACAAAGAUAAGGAGACAAACAUAGAUAAGAUUUUUGUGCCAGGGUUUUGAAUUUCAGAGUGAGAUAAGUGUGAACACACCUAAGGAGAAACCACUCACAUAAACUUGCUGUGGUGCAAAUACGAGUUUUAAAUCCCAGUUCACUUUGAAAUCAAAAUGGUGAACCAGUAUAAUAUUGUGUUGUUGGUGCAACCUACAACAGGUGCAAUCUAGAAAAAGUUGCACCUAUUUCCAGGUGCAACCUUUUAACUUUGGCUCUUGAUCAAUGUUGUUUUAAAUCUAUUAUUUUCUAGUAGGAAGCGUUUGAGCAAAGCUAGGGCAGGUUGAGGCACAGGAAGCUUCAGGCCUACAAAACAACCAGAUAAGUCUGAGUCCCUUCAUAUCAAACUGUGGUUCAUCAUUUAACACCAUAUUUAAAUAGGAACAAAAAAAGAAAAGAACAGAACAAAAAAAAAGGUUUCUUCUGAAAAUGGUCAGAUGAUUAAGUAAAACAAUAAAGGCAGCCAAAUUCCAAAGAAACAAAACCCUCAGAAAUUUGAAAAACUGAUAAAAACACUUUAAAAGACUUCAAGUCCGGGUUCUUGGAAGCCUUAUUUGAACAAAUGAGUUACAACUCAACACUUUUCUAAUAACUCAACGGAAUUAAUAAUAGUUAACGCAAAUUCUACAAACGGAUACAAUAACACUCAUUUUACCUUGAGAAAAUAAAUAAUCUGAACCGUUGACAUUCUGGGAAGAAAAAAAACAACAUACAAUUUAAGGAUUAAA